rnacentral:rRNA from 1 species
CACGUAGGGGGCGAGCGUUGUCCGGAUUUAUUGGGCGUAAAGAGCUCGUAGGCGGCUCAGUAAGUCGGGUGUGAAAACUCCAGGCUCAACCUGGAGACGCCACCCGAUACUGCUGUGGCUAGAGUCCGGUAGGGGAGCAUGGAAUUCCUGGUGUAGCGGUGAAAUGCGCAGAUAUCAGGAGGAACACCGGUGGCGAAGGCGGGUCUCUGGGCAACAACUGACGCUGAGGAGCGAAAGCGUGGGGAGCGAACAGG